rnacentral:lncRNA from 1 species
UUUUCUUAGUAUCCCAGUCUCUGCUAUAGGUGCAAAUUGGAAAAUCAUGUUGUCAACUCUGCCUUUUUUCCCAAUGAAGCUGACGUGGGCAUAGAAAUUCUGGCUUUCGAGGCUGGUUUGGAGCAGUUCGGCGCAAUUUUUGCGAUUUUCAUGCUUUUGGAGCAGCUUGGCGCAGGAAAACGGAAUUGUAUCAAAAAUGCGCAAUAUGCGCAGCUGUCUCACCCCUGCAAACGCACUUUUGCAGUGCUGGUCAAGCACGCUUGCAUGUAUGACUGACCUCUGUAGUUUAGAUGAACUUGUUGUUGGGCAAGUUGGUGCAUCUUAACAAAAAGUAAAACCCUGUGCAACCGCACAACCCACACAUGAGCACAGUUUGUGUGUCUGGUAUAUGUGUAUUUGUGUUUUUUCUGUGGCGGCACAGAGGAAUUUGUCAUGCUGCAACAGACGGUGGGGCAGCACCAUUGCCGUAUCAGGAGGCAACAGUUUCCUCAAUUCCGUGGAGGAAUCAUGGAGUGAAACCUAGCUCCCAACAAACGUGGCCAGCAGAUCACUGACGAGGAAGAGGAGGCUCAAGUAACACUCCUCAACCAAGCUUGGCGGGCUCAGCUGCUGAGGCCUGUGGAGCCCUGGACUGGGAACCUCACCGACAUGCUUCUCCAACCUCUUUCCUUUUACAAUAAAUAAUUCUCAGUUAAUA